GACGAACGCUGGCGGCGUGCUUAACACAUGCAAGUCGAACGGAAAGGCUCCAGCUUGCUGGAGUACUCGAGUGGCGAACGGGUGAGUAACACGUGGGUAAUCUGCCCUGCACUCUGGGAUAAGCCUGGGAAACUGGGUCUAAUACUGGAUAUGACCUUUCUCCUUAUGGUGUUUGGUGGAAAGUUUUUCGGUGUAGGAUGGGCCCGCGGCCUAUCAGCUUGUUGGUGGGGUGAUGGCCUACCAAGGCGACGACGGGUAGCCGGCCUGAGAGGGUGAUCGGCCACAUUGGGACUGAGAUACGGCCCAGACUCCUACGGGAGGCAGCAGUGGGGAAUAUUGCACAAUGGGCGGAAGCCUGAUGCAGCGACGCCGCGUGAGGGAUGACGGCCUUCGGGUUGUAAACCGCUUUCAGCAGGGACGAAGCGUAAGUGACGGUAACUGCAGAAGAAGCACCGGCUAACUAUGUG
rnacentral:rRNA from 1 species